UACGUAGGGUGCGAGCGUUAAUCGGAAUUACUGGGCGUAAAGUGUGCGCAGGCGGCCGAGCAAGUCGAGUGUGAAAGCCCCGAGCUUAACUUGGGAACUGCGCUCGAAACUACUUGGCUAGAGUGUGGCAGAGGGAGGUGGAAUUCCACGUGUAGCGGUGAAAUGCGCAGAUAUCAGGAGGAACACCAAUUGCGAAGGCAGCUCGCUGGGACGUUACUGACGCUGAGACGCGAAAGCGUGGGGAGCAAACAGG
rnacentral:rRNA from 1 species